rnacentral:rRNA from 1 species
UGGGGAAUUUUGGACAAUGGGCGAAAGCCUGAUCCAGCAAUGCCGCGUGUGUGAAGAAGGCCUUCGGGUUGUAAAGCACUUUUGUCCGGAAAGAAAUCCUUGGCUCUAAUACAGUCGGGGGAUGACGGUACCGGAAGAAUAAGCACCGGCUAACUACGUGCCAGCAGCCGCGGUAAUACGUAGGGUGCAAGCGUUAAUCGGAAUUACUGGGCGUAAAGCGUGCGCAGGCGGUUUGCUAAGACCGAUGUGAAAUCCCCGGGCUCAACCUGGGAACUGCAUUGGUGACUGGCAGGCUAGAGUAUGGCAGAGGGGGGUAGAAUUCCACGUGUAGCAGUGAAAUGCGUAGAGAUGUGGAGGAAUACCGAUGGCGAAGGCAGCCCCCUGGGCCAAUACUGACGCUCAUGCACGAAAGCGUGGGGAGCAAACAGGAUUAGAUACCCUGGUAGUCCACGCCCUAAACGAUGUCAACUAGUUGUUGGGGAUUCAUUUCCUUAGUAACGUAGCUAACGCGUGAAGUUGACCACCUGGGGAGUACGGUCGCAAGAUUAAAACUUAAAUGAAUUGACGGGGUCAUAGCUG